rnacentral:rRNA from 1 species
CACGCUUAACACAUGCAAGUCGAGCGAGAACCAGUCCUUCGGGACUGGGGACAGCGGCGGACGGGUGAGUAACGCGUGGGAACGUGCCCCUGGUACGGAAUAGCCCCGGGAAACUGGGAGUAAUACCGUAUGAGCUCUACGGAGGAAAGAUUUAUCGCCAAGGGAUCGGCCCGCGUUGGAUUAGGUAGUUGGUGGGGUAAUGGCCUACCAAGCCGACGAUCCAUAGCUGGUUUGAGAGGAUGAGCAGCCACACUGGGACUGAGACACGGCCCAGACUCCUACGGGAGGCAGCAGUGGGGAAUCUUAGACAGUGGGCGCAAGCCUGAUCUAGCCAUGCCGCGUGAGCGAUGAAGGCCUUAGGGUUGUAAAGCUCUUUCAGCGAGGAAGAUAAUGACUGUACUCGCAGAAGAAGCCCCGGCUAACUCCGUGCCAGCCGCCGCCGUAAUAC